GUGCCAGCCGCCGCGGUAAUACGAAGGUGGCAAGCGUUACUCGGAAUGACUAGGCGUAAAGGGCAGGUAGGUGGUCUUGUAAGUCUGCUGUGAAAGCUCCCGGCUCAACUGGGAGAGGUCAGUGGAUACUGCGAGGCUUGAGUAUAGGAGAGGGUACUGGAAUUCCCGGUGGAGCGGUGAAAUGUGUAGAUAUCGGGAGGAACACCAAUGGCGAAGGCAAGUACCUGGACUAUUACUGACACUCAGCUGCGAAAGCUAGGGGAGCAAACAGGAUUAGAAACCCUUGUAGUCC
rnacentral:rRNA from 1 species